UCAGCUCCUGGAUGACUACAAGAAAGGGAACCUCCACAUCAUUCCAGACACUCCUCUGGCUGAGGAGAGAUCAGGAGAUGACAGUGAUGUGUUGAUAGACAGAGACAUCAUGGCCUCCAUGCAGAGGAAUGUGUGGAUGGACAUAUAUUUAAGGAAGACACUAAACCAGAAAAUACCACAUUACACCCUCUUAAAAGACUUCUAAGAUUGUUGUCAUGCCUACCACAGACAUUCAGAUGAUGUGUAUUCUUGAUUGUGAUUUCAUGUUUGGAGCUGAUGAAGGAGAAAGUACCUGGAAUGUCCUAGAAUUCUCAAGACCCAGGAGAUGAACAUAUGCCUGAGAAGAAGAACUAGUGUGGAACUGUCAGCCAGGUUUUUGAUGAGUGCUCAGACUGCUUUUUGAUCCGGCACCACAUUUACUAUAGUGGACAGAUGCUCUAGUCUCUGAUGAGGAGUUGCUAGCUGUUAGGAAAAACCUGGAAUGGGCUCCACUGCAUGAGGUUUGAAGUCUCCAGAGCAGCAAAGAGAGUGGGGAGUAGAAC
rnacentral:lncRNA from 1 species